GACGAACGCUGGCGGCGUGCCUAAUACAUGCAAGUCGAACGCUGAAGGAGGAGCUUGCUUCUCUGGAUGAGUUGCGAACGGGUGAGUAACGCGUAGGUAACCUGCCUGGUAGCGGGGGAUAACUAUUGGAAACGAUAGCUAAUACCGCAUAAGAGUAGAUGUCGCAUGACAUUUGCUUAAAAGGUGCAAUUGCAUCACUACCAGAUGGACCUGCGUUGUAUUAGCUAGUUGGUGAGGUAACGGCUCACCAAGGCAACGAUACAUAGCCGACCUGAGAGGGUGAUCGGCCACACUGGGACUGAGACACGGCCCAGACGCCUACGGGAGGCAGCAGUAGGGAAUCUUCGGCAAGGGACGGAAGUCUGACCGAGAAACGCCGCGUGAGGGAAGAAGGGUGUCGGAUCGUAAAGCUCGGUUGUAAGAGAAGAACGAGUGUGAGAGUGGAAAGUUCACACUGUGACGGUAGCUUACCAGAAAGGGACGGCUAACUACGUG
rnacentral:rRNA from 1 species